AGGCCAUCUUUGAAGAAGUAAACAAGUACCAUACAAAAGGGAUGACAGAACAACCAAACAGAAGGCUUCCGAGGCGAUCCGGCAGCAUCAGUCUUCAGCCGCUAAGCCAAGAAGAUCUGGGAAGGAGUCAAUCAGAGAGCCUUGGGCCAGAGUUCCAGGGGCUGUGGAAGUGGCUGCCAG
rnacentral:lncRNA from 1 species